GGGGUAGUAACUCAGUGGUAGAGUGUUCGCUUUGCAGUGCCGUCUCCGAUGGUUCGAAGAUGCGAAAAGCCCAGGGUUCAAUCCCCUGCUACUCCA